UACGAAGGGGGCUAGCGUUGUUCGGAAUUACUGGGCGUAAAGCGUGUGUAGGCGGCCACGUAAGUCGGAUGUGAAAGCCCCAGGCUCAACCUGGGAAGUGCACUCGAUACUGCGUGGCUUGAGUAUCGGAGAGGUUGGUGGAAUUCUCGGUGUAGAGGUGAAAUUCGUAGAUAUCGAGAGGAACACCGGUGGCGAAGGCGGCCAACUGGACGAAUACUGACGCUGAGACACGAAAGCGUGGGGGAGCAAACAGG
rnacentral:rRNA from 1 species